CCAGUGGUACCCAGAGACAGGGCAAGGGGCAAUAGACACAAACUGGAGCCCAGGAGGUUCUGUCUGAACUUCAGGAAGAACUUUGCUGUGAAGGUGCUCUCCUUCUCUGGGGAGACUGCAAGCCCACCUGGACAUUGUGCCCCUGGGCCAGCUGCUGUGGGUGACCUUGCAUUAGCAGGGGGGUCGCACUGGCUGAUCCCCAGAGGUCUCUUCCAAGCCCUGCUGUUGUGCGGCAGUGCCACAGAGCCUGUUUUGCGCAGCGGGGAGUGCCUGGGGGCACUGGUGUGCAAUGGGGCAGACGUGCCACAAGGGGGCGCUGCUGGUUCGGCCGUGCCGCCUGGCGGCUCCAGCUGGCGUUCGCCUUUCCCGAGCAGGGGCUGAGCUUGCUGCGCUCCGCAGCUGAGUUCAGUGCUCGGUGGCUCUCGGAGCAGUCGUCCGUGCUGGCAGCAGGCAGUGUUCUUCAGAAACCAGAACUCAAAUGGAGCUUUUGGUGUUUUUCCCAUAGAUAUUUCAGGUAGCUGUUUUGGAAAGGCAAAUGGAACACCGAUAGAAAUGCUGUCCCUUGUCCCAGCCUGCAUGAAGCAUACUCUGAGGUGGUAAGCAUGCAGUUCCUGUUGCUUACCUUGCACAAACAAUCCUGCAGUGAUCCAGCUCAAAUGCAUAUGCUGAACUGACAAAUCUUUUCUGAAAGACUUAUUUGUCCUUAGGCAAGUCAGAGUUGGUGCAGUGUCUGCUGUAAAACAGAUGCACUCACUGCCAUGUUGCAGAUUGUAGCUAGGGAUCAGGCAGCCACAGCUUGCCUGGGGGUGAUGUUUAUUGUGUUACACAAGGUUAGUUUGGAGUUGUAGGUAAGAUAGAGCCUUUUUGGGGUGAAAGACUUCUGGGUUUGGCUUUUCUGUGCCAGAACUCGGGGAAGGAUUGUUCAGAAGGGAUUGUAGUGAUAGGACAAGGGGCAAUAGUUUGAAGCUGGAGCAGGGUCAAUUUAGGUUGGCCAUGGGGAAGAAGCUCUUUACAGUGAGAGGUGAAAUACUGGAACAGUUGCCCAGGGAUGAGGUUGAGGCCCCAUGCCUGGAGAUAUUAAAAAUCAGAUUGAGUGUAGCCCUGGGCAGCCUAAUCUACUUGGAGGUGUCCCUGCUGACUGCAGGGAGGUUGGACAAGAUGACCUUUGAGGGUCCCUUCCAAUCCAGUGCAGUCUGAAUCUGUCAGCUUGGUGCUGCUGAGGAUCUCUUAGGCAUUACCCAUUUUAGACUUCAGAUUAAUCUCUCUGAUGUUAACGACCCAUCACAGGAAGUUAUUGAGUUUUGCUAGAGGCCCAGGGAUGAAUCAGUGGACUGCACAUCUUCUCCACAUGGCAUUCUGUGUUUUCUCCAGCUGUCUAUUCUGCAGGGUAAUAAUUAUUCUGAUUACAAUCCCAUAUGACAGCAGGACAGUGCAUAUCUUCUGGUAUUCUUGAUUUGGGCUGGAGUGAGAAAUGAGUGCAAUAAUCUACUUGCAUUUUGUGGUGAAGAUUAUCAUUUCAAACAUAGAAGGCAAGACACUGACUUGAAGAUAGGUGCAGAUUCUCACAGAAUUCACAAGCCUACAGCCAAAACACCACCCCACAAAGGACACAGCCAACCUACCCCCGCAAAGGGGAUCAGCCAAAGGCUUCUGCCUCUCCUGGGGCAGCUUAAAAAGGGGAGGUCAAUUGAAGUCUCUUCCCACCCCAGCUGUGGCCACUUUGCCCUGCCUGCUCAGUGCCCUUUAUAAGCAGAGCAGGAGGAGCCCAGCCCCAAGCUGGGCCCAUUGCGGGCCAGGGGAUCCUCCGCCUGGCAUCCCAGAAAGCAGGAGUCAGCCACCUGCCACCCAUCCCCUCCUGACCCCAACCCCAGAAACCCAAAGCAGCACUUGGCACAGGAGGUCUCUCGUGUUGCAGUCUCAACUUCAAGCCCUGGAAUACUUUGCUUCAGCCAGCAGCAUGGGGUUGGAUACCAUCAGCAGAGUCGACAUAACCUGUGACUAAGUGAACUUAAAGUGUUCUGAAUCCACAGUGGAACUUGAUAAAGAAAGAUGUGAAUGGAAGCAGGCUCUGACUGCUCUGUGUAACUGAUGAGAAGCUUUCUGAAGGAGGUUACAGAUCUUCAAGGUAGCUGCUGGUGCAGUGUCUGUUGGAGACUGUUAGCCACUCUGAAGGAGGGAGUUAGUGGAGCAUCAUAGGAACAUGUAGAGAGAUUGGUCAGGAAAAGGCAUUUGUGUUACCCUUUUGAGUCAUUUGAGUCACUUUUAUUGUAAUCCCAUGCCUGAGAGCAGGACUCCUUUGUGUCCAGGGUUAAAAUCUUCAAGGAGAAACAGUGCCAAGGCUCUGAAUUGAUUGGGACUUGGUGCUGCUAGUUACAGUGUAGGACAGUUAAGGCAGUCCUGUGUUUUGUGAUUUGCCUUUUUUCCUACCGUUCUAGUUUUGGCUCGGGCUAGUGUGAAGUGUCUCUGGAACGAGGUCCUUGUGGUCCCUUCUGACCCUGACUGAUUCUGUGAUUCCAGCAAGCAGCUUUUGACUCAAAAACCCCUGAGGUCACUGCAGCACCUCUCUAUGGAAUAAAAGAAAGGGAUUUUGCUGCACUGCUGA